UUCUGGGAACUAAACAAUUUGAAGGAUUUUUGUUGGGUGGGGGAUUGGGGCAGAAGAAACAACUGAAAAAGGGAGGUGAACUUAGAGAAUGUGGGUUUUUUGGACAAACUAAAUGGAGCUAGGCUUUUGCUGUUAAUCUUUGCUUUUGGACAUACUGGAAAUUGGAAGGAUCUAAGGUUAGAUCUCCAAUUAUGUAAAUUUGCAGUCUAUUUGAUGAAGGCUAGUGCAGCAGUCUAAACAAUGGAAGUUGCAUUUUUGAAGGGUCUUAGCUUUCAAGAUGGACUUCCAUGAGAAUUCAAAUGGAGCCUCCUGGAGAUCCUGGGCCAAUUGAUAAUUCGGUACUUUAUGAUCAAGAUAACCAUGUCUCUUCAGCUGUUUGGGAUGGGCAGGAGCGAGGAGUUCUUAGAUGUCAUGAACACACGUCACUACUUGAUCAAUGGAAGCUCACACCUAAACAAAUUGAGUUGGUUGUGAAGGCAGGAUUUCAGUACUUACGAAUGAUUCCUGCAAUUAAUUUUGACAGUGCACUCAUAGCAGCACUAGUUGAGAGGUGGAGGAGAGAGACAAAUACCUUUCACUUGCCUGGUGGAGAAAUGACAAUUACCCUCGGAGAUGUAGCACUCUUGCUUGGACUAGCUAUUGAUGGAGAGCCUGUUAUAGGUACAACAAGCAGCACUCCGAGCUCGUUGUGUGCAAAAUUACUAGGAAGAGUACCGGAAGACCUAAGUGGUGGAAUGGUGAAGCUUACCUGGUUGAAAGAGUUCUUUUCUCAGUGUCCCAAAGAUGCACCGAUUGAAGAGAUUGAAUGCCGAACACGUGCUUACCUCCUAUACCUGGUAGGCAGUACAAUAUUUUCCACAACAACUGGAAACAAAGUCCCUGUCAUGUACCUGUCAUUGUUUGAGGAUUUUGACAAAGCAGGAAGGUUUGCCUGGGGUGCAGCAGCACUGGCAUUCCUUUAUAGAGCACUCGGCAAUGCUUCACUUAAGACUCAAAGCACCAUUAGCGGCUCUUUGACUCUACUGCAGUGCUGGAGUUAUUAUCACCUGAAUGUCGGUCGACCAAGAUUCAAUCAGGAGCCAAACCAAGGUUGUUUUCCAUUGGUGCUUUGGUGGAAAGGAAAACAAAGCGGUUCAAGAAUGAGAUGUAAUAUAGUUUCCUACCGCAAGGCCUUGGAUUCUCUCAACCCUACUGAUAUAGAGUGGCUUCCUUACAAAGAUAUCGACCAUACAGAAAUACCGGAAGAUAUUAAAAAUACUUUGACCUUACGAGCAUCAAAGACUAUGCUCAUAUGCUUUGAGAAGGCAGAAAGACAUCUCCCAGACCGUUGCCUUAGGCAAUUUGGCAUGCUUCAAGGAAUCCCAAAGGAUGUACAGCGAUGGGAGAGAAAGAGCCGUGCAUAUGAUCAUGGGGUUGACAUCUUGGGCAAAAUGCAAUCUGAGCUUGACGAGUGGUCAAUGCGUCGACUUCAUAUUGUGGAAGGUGAUGAUGACGUGGAUGAGAAGGAGUAUAUGCAGUGGUACCAGAGAAUUACUCGUAAAUUUGUAGGGAGGCUUACAUCUGUUGAGUCCGAGUUUAAGGGAAAAGUUGAAGCUUUGAAUGAAAUUGCAAGCAUGCUAGAUAGAUUUUCAGAAGAUGGGAUGGAUUCCCAGGAUAGGAAGUUACUCGAUGAGGUAAAGGAUAUUGUGCACAACUAUUUGAUAGAUGAAGUUGGAGAGUCACAAAAGAAAAUUGGAACAAAGAGUACAAAGAAACGUAAGCGAAAGGAUGAUUUGAAUUGCGAGGAUGGUCAAUGCUAGAACAGUUGAUGCAGUAAUCAUAUGGAGGAAACUAUGGUUAUUCAGAUGAAAUGAAGAGUUUAUUGCAAAGCGAUUCAGCUUUAUGGAAAAUUCAGAAGAUAAAUACACCUCCAAAUGGUAAGGAACAUUCGCAUCUCAAAUCGUAUGGUAAUACAUAAGGAUUCUUGAAUGAAAGCAAAAAGGAGUGCUUCCCAACUCCUAUUAUUGCCUAAGAACGUGAAGGUCAUGUACUUUUGGUCGAUGAAUGGGGAAUUAAUGACUAAAAUGGGUUAAUGCAAAAAGUUGGUAUGAAUAAGAUCUCCAGCAUCCUGUAUUCCUUACUGAUAAUGAUGAUAAAUUGCUAUUUAUAUUC